GAUGAACGCUGGCGGCGUGCUUAACACAUGCAAGUCGAACGAAGCACCUUGAUUUGAUUCUUCGGAUGAAGAUCUUGGUGACUGAGUGGCGGACGGGUGAGUAACGCGUGGGUAACCUGCCUCAUACAGGGGGAUAACAGUUAGAAAUGACUGCUAAUACCGCAUAAGACCACAGUACCGCAUGGUACAGGGGUAAAAACUCCGGUUGUAUGAGAUGGACACGCGGCUGAUUAGGUAGUUGGUGGGGUAACGGCCUACCAAGCCGACGAUCAGUAGCCGACCUGAGAGGGUGACCGGCCACAUUGGGACUGAGACACGGCCCAAACUCCUACGGGAGGCAGCAGUGGGGAAUAUUGCACAAUGGGGGAAACCCUGAUGCAGCGACGCCGCGUGAGCGAUGAAGUAUUUCGGUAUGUAAAGCUCUAUCAGCAGGGAAGAAAAUGACGGUACCUGACUAAGAAGCACCGGCUAAAUACGUGCCAGCCGCCGCCGUAA
rnacentral:rRNA from 1 species